GACCAAUGUAUAUAUAUUUAUUGGUCAGUGCGCAUACCCAAUCGUAGCACAUUGUACUGGUGGGGAAACACGCCAGCAUCUGACAAAACAUAAUCUGCCAGCUGCUCCCUGACAAGGGCCGGUUUUGGUGAGAGUCGGGAAGAUAUCGGAUGACUCGCGAAAGGAGAUCAUCAAACUUUGGCACAUAAACAAACCAACGACUCCCACAGACAAAGACGUCAUUCUCGAGGUCGUCUUCAACGAAAACUUUACUCCACAUAUUACUCCACCUACUGUUCUGGCGGUAAAUUGCUUGGCAACACGCGCAACCCGCGCAACCUAAAAGGGAGCAUAAAUUGCUUUGAGUAAAUUUUGCGCAACAACGUAACACCAACACUGAAGCAUGCAGCCGCCUUAACACAAGAAAAACGUAAUGUUGAGAAGUCAUACUAAAAAUGGAUAGCAAGCGAAAGCUAAACCAGACUGUCAAUCACAUACUUUGGUUCCAUUCUAACUUAUGGUAUGAGGCUAGUCUUUAAAUCUUUGCAGUGACUGAAUGUUGAUGAUAAAACGGAUUGUUUUGCAUAAGACGAGUGUGUGCGACUGCGUGUGUCCUUUCUGGCUUCGGCAUACUGCAUGGUUAUGGGCCUUGUUGCAUAUUCUCGAAGAAAGUUGUCCAAUCCCGGGUUGCUUUAACUCACUUUAUUCGUUAUAAAGUCGGCAUGUUUCGGUAUGGUAAAUGGAGACUACGGAAGGAAUUGUAUCUAACACGAGUGAGAGGAAAAUACCGUGAUCUACUUCAAGCCCCCGGGCUUAGGCCCGGGGGCUCUCUGCGCCGUCUACCUAUUGAACUCUGGCCUGUUCACGCGACGUCCUCCGUACAGGACGUCAAGUGGGUGUGGCCUAUGCAGUGGGUGUGGCCUAUGCAGUGGGCGUGGCCUAUUGGGCGUGUCCGGGGUGACGUUAUGGCUUCGGCUUCUUCACUUAAUUAAAGGUGAAGAGGGAGCAGCCUUCAAUAACGUCAUGCUCCCCUUGUGGCUAUGUGAGGGUAACGCAGCUUAUAUGUUUGGUCCUACUUCCUAGUGGACAAGUGAGGGAAGCUUAGAUUCUUAAAAUAUGUAACAGCCUUUUGGUGAGUUGUGGUCUUAGUGAAGCAGCCUAGCCUUGGAGUUGGAUAAGUUGGAGUGAUUGUGUAUGGGCGUGCACGGGCGUGCGAGAGUGAGAGAGCACACCCGCCGCGUUGAUGUUUGGCUUGUUGUGGGCUGUCUGUCAGCAUCCGCCGGGUUGGACGAUGUGCUUUGUGUAUGUGUUCAAUGUACUAUCUGUCUGGUCGUAUUUGCUGUAGAUUGAUGGUUAAAUAAUGUCACACCACGAUCGGUUAUACUUGCAGGCACUUAUUUGCAAGUGCACUGAUUGCGUGUCCGAUAGGCUAGGUUAACCCAUAGCUAGCAUUAUCUUCUAUUUCUAGAUCUUCUGACUAAGUUUACCGGUACUUAUCUGAACGACAUAAUCGCUGUCACUAGAUAUAAAGAAAACGUUGACGUUUCACUCGGGGCUAUUCACUCACAGUAAAAAUAAAUAAAAGUGUCGUUAUUGUAUGCACUGCUGUUCAUUGACUAGCUCCAGCGCUAGGUUGCUGCGUUACUAAAUCAUCCACUCAUUCUCCUCUGACCAUGCAUUUAUUUGGCUUUGACCGCCAUCAGUUGUCGACAAUUCCUCAUUCGCCCUCUCACGUCUGACAGGUUUGAAAUUAUACGGCUGUGGGCCAUCAUAAUUU
rnacentral:lncRNA from 1 species